CGCACAUUGCGCCCCUUGGUAUUCCAUGGGGCAUGCCUGUUCGAGCGUCGCUUCGCCAUUCAAGCUGCCCGUUCAGCUUGGAUCUGGGCGCCUGUCUCCCUGUGGAGACUCGCCUUAAAACUGUUGGCAGGCCGUGUAUAGAGUCGAGAGCGCAGCAGAAGCACGCCUCGUCUCGGUGCCGGGCUCCCAGAAGCACACGCACUUCGACCUCGGAUCAGGUAGGAAUACCCGCUGAACUUAA
rnacentral:misc_RNA from 1 species